rnacentral:ncRNA from 1 species
AUUGAAUAGGCAUUGGAAGCUGGCUCAUGACCGUCGGGUACUCUCAGGGAUAAGGGCCAGAGAGAGAGAGAGAGCUCCUCUUUCUUUGUGGUUAGCCCAAGUUAGGCUGCGUGACUGUUUCCGUGCUUUUAUGCAUCCGGGGCAUAGACUUAGGCAUAUCAAACAGUGUCAUGAGGAGCCUUCAAGAGUGUGCAUGGUUAACGACGAUAAUGUAGCUGAGUUAGUAAAUGAGGUCCCCCUCUUGCCCCUUCGAAGGAUUCCGCGGCUUCGAGAUAGGUUAGCGGCCCGCUAAUCUAUUUCGCUAAUAGCAGAGGAUUCUAUAAGUGUAGUAGGUGUGAGAGAUGAGAGUGCUGCGGACAUACUACUGCACCCGAUUGAAAAUGGGGAUGGGACUUGGUCAUGUCCCAUCUGUUCUCAACUCUGAGAAGGGCAUCACUAAUCAUGGUAAUCGUAUGCAUAGAGUGUCCUUGAUUACGUUUAGAGGCUUCGGAAUAUGUUUUUGGGAAUGUACGACCGCAAGUAACUUGCGGCAAGUUGCGUGGGUGGAUGAGGAGUUGUGAGGCCUUAGUCCUUUGCGGAUGAGAGGCCUCCGGCCUACACCGGUACGCAUCCGGUACGCCGUCUGCCGACCACAGGGAUAACUGGCUUGUGGCAGCCAAGUGUUCAUAGCAACGUUGAUUAUUGAUCCUUCGGUGUCAGCUCUUCCUAUCAUUGAGACGCAGAAGUCUCAAAGUGUCGGAUUGUUCACCCGCCAGUAGGGAACGUGAGCUGGGUUUAGACCGUCGUGAGACAGGUUAGUUUUACCCUACUGACGGAGUAGAUACUACGACAGUAGUCGAAGUUAGCACUUGGUUAAUGCCGUUGUCUGAAAAAACAGUACGGCGAAGCUACCAUCUCCUGGAUUGCGGCUGAACGCCUCUGAGCCGGAAUCCAUGCUGGAUCAGCAGUGUUGUACACCAUGCUCAAUGCCAGAAGAAAAAGGCUAGGUCAGGCUGUGGCCUGACAAUUUGUCAGUGACAAAGAUUCAAGCUACUAUACCUCUGGCUGCAUUGAUUUGUGGUCAGAGUGUAUAGCGAUCAUAGCAAUUGCAAGUUUUGGGCUCGAUAAAUCCUUUGAGGACGACUUAAUUGCAUCCGGGUAUUGUAAGUGUGAGAG